CCUACGGGCGGCAGCAGUGGGGGAUAUUGCACAAUGGGGGGAACUCUGAUGCAGCGACGCCGCGUGGGUGAAGAAGCGCCUCGGCGCGUAAAGCCCUGUUAGCAGGGAAGAAAAUGACGGUACCUGAAGAAGAAGCCCCGGCUAACUACGUGCCAGCAGCCGCGGUAAUACGGAGGGGGCAAGCGUUAUCCGGAUUUACUGGGUGUAAAGGGGGCGCAGACGGCGAGGCAAGCCAGGAGUGAAAGCCCGGGGCCCAACCCCGGGACUGCUCUUGAAACUGCGGGGCUGGAGUGCAGGAGGGGCAGGCGGAAUGUCUGGUGUAGCGGUGAAAUGCGUAGAUAUCAGGAGGAACACCGGUGGCGAAGGCGGCUUGCUGGACUGCAACUGACGUUGAGGCCCGAAAGCGUGGGUAGCAAACAGGAUUAGAUACCCUAGUAGUC
rnacentral:rRNA from 1 species